rnacentral:tRNA from 1 species
GGGCGUGUACCCAAGUGGACAAAGGGGGCGGGCUGUAAACCCGCUGGCGAAGCCUUCCCAAGUUCGAAUCCUGGCGCGCCCA